rnacentral:lncRNA from 1 species
AAAGCGUGAGGGAUUUGUUUAGCUAAACACUUUUCAGGCAAAAUACAUUUGAACAAGAAAAAGAGAUUCAGUGAAGAGAUGGAAAAAUUUUAAACAAACGCAUCAAUAAUCAACUGGAAGAACUAAUUUGUUUCAAAAAACCUUACCGACAACAAUUGCACCACUACAGUAGUCGAUUUCCCAACCAGCCUUCCAUAUAGAAUCCCUCCCGAAUCAGCCUUUGCCACUCAAAGGUCGAAGUCAGUCAACCACUCACAGGUCCAAAUCGAAGUCGAAAUCACCAUUACUUUGGCUAGAUUAUACAUACCCAAAGGAAGGGAUUAUCGUUUAAUCCUUCGAUUUUUAAAUCUGAGGAGCUUCUGGUUUUAAGAAGUGAGUGAGGGUUCAUUUGGUGGUCGAGAAAGAGAACAGCGUGUGUCACUUGGACCUUAAAAUCCAAAAUUGAACCCAGUUCUGGAACCAGUUAAGAGCAGUGUGUGAAAAGGCCUGUGACACAAAUGAACAGUAAUUUCCAAAGUCAGUCUUUUAAGAGAAAACUAGUGAUGGGCCUUGCGUUGCAC